rnacentral:misc_RNA from 1 species
CAAGUUCUCAAACCAUUUCUCUGUUGAUGUGGUUUGGAUAUGGGGGGAUUAUUCAUUUUUGCAGGCUUUCCUGUUCAAAGGAGGUCGGCUCCCCUGAAAUAUAUUAGUAGUAUCUGAGCUACUUUACAGGUGUGAUAAUUAUCUAUGCCUUUUUUAAGUAUGCUGCAUAAACAGAUGGCACUGCUUCCAACGAGUGAAAAACCGUUAGGGUUUCUUUUCACAUUUGAUGA